rnacentral:rRNA from 1 species
UACAGAGGGUGCAAGCGUUGCUCGGAAUCAUUGGGCGUAAAGGGCAGGUAGGUGGUCUGAUUUGUCUGGAGGUGAAAUCCUUGAGCUUAACUCAAGAAGUGCCCCGGAAACGGUCAGACUUAUGAGUCUUGGAGAGGGUGGCGGAAUUCCCGGUGUAGCGGUGAAAUUCGUAGAUAUCGGGAGGAACACCGGUGGCGAAGGCGGCCACCUGGAUGGAUACUGACGCUGAGACGCGAAAGCGUGGGGAGCAAACAGG